rnacentral:rRNA from 1 species
CACGUAUUUAGCCGUCGCUUCUUCUGCAGGUACCGUCACUUUCUUCUUCCCUGCUGAAAGCACUUUACAAUCCGAAAACCUUCUUCGUGCACACAGAAUUGCUGGAUCAGGGUUGCCCCCAUUGUCCAAUAUUCCCCACUGCUGCCUCCCGUAGGAGUAAGGGCCGUAUCUCAGUCCCCUUGUGGCCGUUCACCCUCUCAGGCCGGCUACCUAUCAUCGCCUUGGUGAGCCGUUACCUCACCAACAAGCUAAUAGGACGCAAAGCUCUCCUGCAGCAUCACUUUUCAUUGCCGGGCACAUGCGUGCUGGCAAUUGUAUCAGGUAUUAUCAGUCGUUUCCGUCUGUUAUCCCUGUCUGCAGGGCAAGUUCUUUACGCGUUACUCACCCGUCCGCCUUGGCUAGGCUGUGCAAGCACAGAUUUGCCAAAGACUUGCAUGUGUUAAGCAUUCUGUCAGCGUUCAUCCUGAGCCAGGAUCAAA